rnacentral:lncRNA from 1 species
AAUUUGUUUGUUUUUUUUUUAGCUGCCUUUGAAAUUACCAUCAAUGACAAGUUGGUCUUCUCUCGUCUUCAAUCUUUUUCAUUCCCUAGCUCUGAACAGAUUGUGAAUUUAUUACAUGAUGUCCAGGCAGGCAAGACGAUCCCUGUUAUUGAGGAAUCUAGCUCAGGCUGCAUAAUUCAAUAAAACUAAUUUGUUUUCCAGAAAUUUCUGCAAUUGUUACACCUUAAACUCUUUGAGUUUCUUUUUCUUUCUUUUUUAAUUUUAAAUUAAUAUAUGUUAAAGGUCUUGACUAUUGUCUUCUUUUUUAAAUCCUCAUUGAACUGACAUAUAGACAUGGACUGGCUUAUAUUCCAACAUUAUGGUAUAUCAUACAACCUGUUUUGUCACAGUAAAGAUAUUUACCCAGUACCCACUCAGUAUUUGCCCAAUCAACGACAACAGUUCAUCUGAUUGAAUGAGUUAACUUUGUUCAUUGGUGGAAGAUGCUGAGGUGUUUUCCACACAGUGUAUGUGGUAAGCGGCACCUACAAGUACUAGUUAAUACUGAGUAGUCUGUUGUUAUGGUAGAUGGCCAUUCUUAAUUCCAUGUGGCUACAGGUAUGUCUGCAGGAGAGUAGGAGUGUCCAUGUAUAUGGAUACACAGUGGAUCUUGAAAGCUUCCAUUUGUUGUAUCCACUAUGUUGCUCCUUGCUGCCUAGCAUCAAAAUAUGUCACUUCUUCAAUUAAGUGAUCUAAUUACUCUUUGCCUUCAUGAUGAGGUGCUAAUUAGCUUUAUACAUGUAUUUUUUUUUUUUUUUUUGCCUUUCAUAUUCUUUCUUCUUUUUCUUCUCAUCUAUUCUUCUCUUUUCUCUCCCUCUUCACAUACUUACCAUGAUUCUAUCUUUAACCUCAUUCUCUCUUCUCCUUCUCUCUAUUCCAGCUGUCUUUUACGUUAAGUAUUCUAUUUCUAUAGUUUCUCUUUUUUUUCUUAUUUCAAAGUAAAUAUGCAAAACGUUUCUAGUCAAGGGUGAAUUCGAAAUUAUUCAGUGUCUUUCUUUUGAAAAUUCUGUAUGUAACAAUUGUAGAACUAAAAAUACUUUAUAUUGACUUAUUAAAAAAUUUUCAUUUUGACUUUCUUACUGGUUAUUUCUGGUUAUGAAAAUUCUGGUCUAAACAUGUAUUGACCAGAGUUGGAUAAAUUGUGAGGAAUAACCAGUGAAAAACUCGACUGAAAAUGAAUUAUUUGGUGAUUAAAAUAAAAAAUGAAUAUAUCAUGA